GAUGAACGCUGGCGGCGUGCCUAAUACAUGCAAGUCGAGCGAACAGAUGAGGAGCUUGCUCCUCUGACGUUAGCGGCGGACGGGUGAGUAACACGUGGAUAACCUACCUAUAAGACUGGGAUAACUUCGGGAAACCGGAGCUAAUACCGGAUAAUAUAUUGAACCGCAUGGUUCAAUAGUGAAAGACGGUUUUGCUGUCACUUAUAGAUGGAUCCGCGCCGCAUUAGCUAGUUGGUAAGGUAACGGCUUACCAAGGCAACGAUGCGUAGCCGACCUGAGAGGGUGAUCGCCCACACUGGAACUGAGACACGGUCCAGACGCCUAAGGGAGGCAGCAGAAGGGAAUCUUCCGCAAUGGGCGAAAGCCUGACGGAGCAACGCCGCGUGAGUGAUGAAGGUCUUCGGAUCGUAAAACUCUGUUAUUAGGGAAGAACAAAUGUGUAAGUAACUAUGCACGUCUUGACGGUACCUAAUCAGAAAGCCACGGCUAACUACGUG
rnacentral:rRNA from 1 species